rnacentral:rRNA from 1 species
GAUGAACGCUGGCGGCGUGCCUAAUACAUGCAAGUCGAGCGAAUGGAUUAAGAGCUUGCUCUUAUGAAGUUAGCGGCGGACGGGUGAGUAACACGUGGGUAACCUGCCCAUAAGACUGGGAUAACUCCGGGAAACCGGGGCUAAUACCGGAUAAUAUUUUGAACUGCAUGGUUCAAAAUUGAAAGGAGGCUUCGGCUGUCACUUAUGGAUGGACCCGCGUCGCAUUAGCUAGUUGGUGAGGUAACGGCUCACCAAGGCAACGAUGCGUAGCCGACCUGAGGGGGGGAUCGGCCACACUGGGACUGAGACACGGCCCAGACUCCUCCGGGAGGCAGCAGUAGGGAAUCUUCCGCAAUGGACGAAAGUCUGACGGAGCAACGCCGCGUGAGUGAUGAAGGCUUUCGGGUCGUAAAACUCUGUUGUUAGGGAAGAACAAGUGCUAGUUGAAUAAGCUGGCACCUUGACGGUACCUAACCAGAAAGCCACGGCUAACUACGUGCCAGCAGCCGCCGUAA